GUCUGAGAGGAUGAUCAGCCACACUGGAACUGAGACACGGUCCAGACUCCUACGGGAGGCAGCAGUGGGGAAUAUUGCACAAUGGGCGCAAGCCUGAUGCAGCCAUGCCGCGUGUGUGAAGAAGGCCUUCGGGUUGUAAAGCACUUUCAGUCGUGAGGAAGGUGGUGUCGUUAAUAGCUGCAUUAUUUGACGUUAGCGACAGAAGAAGCACCGGCUAACUCCGUGCCAGCAGCCGCGGUAAUACGGAGGGUGCGAGCGUUAAUCGGAAUUACUGGGCGUAAAGCGCAUGCAGGUGGUUUGUUAAGUCAGAUGUGAAAGCCCGGGGCUCAACCUCGGAAUAGCAUUUGAAACUGGCAGACUAGAGUACUGUAGAGGGGGGUAGAAUUUCAGGUGUAGCGGUGAAAUGCGUAGAGAUCUGAAGGAAUACCGGUGGCGAAGGCGGCCCCCUGGACAGAUACUGACACUCAGAUGCGAAAGCGU
rnacentral:rRNA from 1 species